UAUGCCGUGGGUAUGGCCAUAAAAACAAGGAGAAAAAAAAUGCUCAGGUAAAAUGGAGCUAUUCUUCAGUGUCUUGGAAUGAGAAAUGUUGCUUAUGGGUGAUUUUCCUCGUGAAGCAAAAAAGGAACAAACUGGUAAGAGAUAAAGGAACUAGUUGAGGGAGAUAUUUACAUUUACGAAGUCAGAGGGAGGAAGAGGAAAUAAAGUCACUCGGAGAGAGAAGUGAGAGCCUAAGAGGCCACAACCGAAGCAAGGUUUCUCAGGGGCACGGACCGUCAAAGACACAGCUGCAAACGCAAACAGAAACACCCCUGCCGGGGGCCAGCGCCCCUGCCAGGCGGGGGCGAGUGGGAAAUAAACACGCGACGGGCAGGGAAGAACGCACGUGCUCGCCAGGACAGCGUCUCUCUGGUGCUGGAGAUGGGAGCCAGACUCAGCCAGCCAGGAAGUCAAUAAUUACAAAUCAUUCUAGAAGUUUGCAGCUCGAGUUGGGUAUGCAUAGGCGGCGAGGGUUGAGAAAUCUGGCAGCGACAAGAAUGAGGGCUUCUGCUUGCUCCGUGUGGGCGAAGCAGUUACAAAGGAUGCAGGAGGAGGAGAGAGCUGUUUAGAAAGGGGGGCGCGGGGGGACGGGUGUGGCUCUUGUGUCCCUGUUCUGUGAAUAAGCUGGAGGUGAAGUCAUGCACCCGGGAGGGACACAGAGGGCUGAGAAAAUCGCGGGGAGGUUUUUAUAGAUGACGCAUUGAGGAAAAAAGGCAAGACAAGAGCCAUUCAGGAAAUCAUGGUGCAGCCGAAGGGCCAAUUAAAAGCAGAGAAUGCAGGCUUUUAGUGAGUGCAGUAGCUUUGUGGGAACGUGGCAGUGGAACCCAACAGCCGGGGUGACAAAGACGUGCCCUUGACCUGGAGGUGGAUCUGCUCCUGCAGCCAAGGCUGAAGGUCAGGGGUGAAGGAAGCCCAGUUAAAAAAAAAAAAGCUCGUCCUUCCUGGUCAAGUAGGAUGCUGUACCCGUCAUGGGCUCUGAUUGAAUGACUCCAGAAAGACAUGAAUGGCCUCACGGGGCUCUGGAGACAGAGGGACAGAAUGGGCACAUCCUGGCCCGAGAGGAGUGUGGCACGUUGGCUUCCGUACAAGGCGCCGUAGCAAAACACCAUGGGCCAGGCGGCUACAACCUCAGAGCCUCAUUUCAUUUCAUCAGGGUCAACGGUGGGACGUCUGUGAUCAAGCUCUGCCGAAAAGGGGGCAUUUCGCUCUUCAGCACGAGGAACUGCAUGCUUGGUGCCAGAUUUCCUUGCCCCCGCCAAGGACGUCAAGGCUCUGUCCCUCGGCAUGCACUUGGACUGCGGCCUGGCCGGUCCUGCCCUCUGGUCCUUCCUGGAAUGGAUCGGGCUGGUAUUGAUCGGAGAGAGAGCUCCAGGCAACGGCUGGGCUGCAGCGAGUCUAGUGCAGGAUGCUCAAUGCAGCCGCAACCAUCGUCUGAAUCCACAUCAGCCAGUACAACUGUUUGAAGUCCCUCCAUCCUGCUGCCUGGAAUGCACUUAUGAUUGCUGGAGCUUUAGCAACUCUUUUGGUACCUGAGGACAAGGGAUACACCCUAGACAUUGCGGAGUGGUGAGCUGGAAGUAGGCUGGCUGGCCUUGGGCUCCUUCCGGACUCCAACUUCUCCUGCGUAGACUCAGAGAAAAAUGGUAUGAAAGCUGCCAACUUGCAGCAUCCCGCUGGGGGGCCCCACCAUGUCUACUGGACUCCUACGGCUGCUGUACAAAUACCACCCAUUGGGCAGCUCAGAACCACACGAUGCUACUGUCUCACGGUUCUGGAGGCUGGAAGCCGGACAUCAUAGUCUCCACCCGGCUGAGGGCGCGAGGAGUGGGGGGAGUCUCCCCGGUGCUCUCUGCGCCUCUCCCGGCAACCCUUGGCUUGGAGAUGUGGCUGCAGGUCUGCUCCCGUCUUGGCUCUCGCUUCCCUCUGUGUGUCCCUCUGUGCCCUCUUCUUAUGAGGAUCUAGGUCCAGUAUGACUUCAUCUUUGUGUGGGGGUGUGUGUGUGCACGCUUUUUAGGGCCAUACCCACGGCAUAUGAAAGUUCCCAGGCUAGGGGUUGAAU